rnacentral:rRNA from 1 species
AUACGGAGGGUGCAAGCGUUACUCGGAAUCACUGGGCGUAAAGCGCACGUAGGCGGACUGAUCAGUUAGAGGUGAAAUCCCAGGGCUCAACCCUGGAACUGCCUUUAAUACUGUCAGUCUAGAGAUCGAGAGAGGUGAGUGGAAUUCCAAGUGUAGAGGUGAAAUUCGUAGAUAUUUGGAGGAACACCAGUGGCGAAGGCGGCUUACUGGCUCGAUACUGACGCUGAGGUGCGAAAGCGUGCGGAGCAAACAGGAUUAGAGACCCCGGUAGUCC